rnacentral:rRNA from 1 species
AUUGAACGCUGGCGGCAUGCUUUACACAUGCAAGUCGAACGGCAGCGCGGGCUUCGGCCUGGCGGCGAGUGGCGAACGGGUGAGUAAUGCAUUUGAACGUGCCCAGUAGUGGGGGAUAGCCCGGCGAAAGCCGGAUUAAUACCGCAUACGACCUGAGGGUGAAAGCGGGGGACCGAAAGGCCUCGCGCUAUUGGAGCGGCCGAUGUCGGAUUAGCUAGUUGGUGGGGUAAAGGCUUACCAAGGCGACGAUCCGUAGCUGGUCUGAGAGGACGACCAGCCCCACUGGGACUGAGACAGGGCCCAGACUCCUACGGGAGGCAGCAGUGGGGAAUUUUGGACAAUGGGGGCAACCCUGAUCCAGCCAUGCCGCGUGCGAGAAGAAGGCCUUCGGGUUGUAAACCGCUUUUGUUCGGGAAGAAAUCCUCUGGGCUAAUACCCCGGGGGGAUGACGGUACCGGAAGAAUAAGCACCGGCUAACUACGUG